rnacentral:lncRNA from 1 species
UGUAACCCUACAGGAUAACAUGAGAGAAAGUCACAAUCUGUAAUUGUAUAGGCAGGACAAAAGAGUCAAAGUUUAUUUUGCCAAAGUCUGUAACUUUGUAGGGAAAAGUGCAAUGAUAUGUGUGCCAUAUUUUGUACUAUACAAGGCAUAAAGAAAUGGAUGCCAGAGUCUGGAAUUCUAUAAGGGCAAUGAGAAAUGAUGUCACAGUCUGUAACUGUAUAGGCACUGAAAGAGGUAGCCAGAGUCUGUAACCCUAUAAGCAUAAAG